AUGGCCCGCGUGGAGGUGAACGGGCAGCGGGGCACGGCCGCCGGAGCAGAAGUGAUGCUGCCCCGCCGGAGGAGGCGACAGGAGCUGUUUGCCUUCCAGAUGUGCUUCGCGGGGGUGCUUCUGGGGCUGGCGGCGGGGUUCCGGUCGGUGGCCCAGAGAACAGGAGCAGUAAAUCAUGUACCUCCCUCCGCUUUCCCAGUGGCUGCAAAUUUCCUAUCCUGUUGGAACGCUGUGUCAGGAUAUCUCUCCAGCUCACUGGUUUUGGAAGAGACAAGGUGGGAGAGUCGACACCUUUUACAAGAGGAAAACCAGUCCAAGCUCUACUCAGACACUGAGAAGAACUGCACGGAGCCAGCCAUCCACGAGUUUCCAAGGGAUUACUUCACCAACCAAGAGCGAACGGAGGGCGCCGUGGGCCUGCAUGUCCUCUGUGCCGUCUACAUGUUCUAUGCUCUGGCUCUGGUGUGUGACGACUACUUUGUCCCAUCUCUGGAGAAGAUCUGUGAGCGUCUCCACCUGAGCGAGGACGUCGCAGGAGCCACCUUCAUGGCAGCAGGCAGCUCGGCACCUGAGCUGUUCACCUCUGUCAUCGGAGUGUUCAUCACUAAAGGUGACGUCGGGGUUGGGACCAUUGUGGGCUCGGCCGUCUUCAACAUUCUCUGCAUCAUUGGGAUGUGUGGUAUAUUCGUUGUACAGACCAUCCGUCUGUCCUGCUGGCCUCUGCUACGAGACUCUGUCUACUACACUCUGUCCAUCUCUGCUCUCAUUGUGUUCAUUUAUGAUGAGAAAGUGGUUUGGUGGGAAGCUCUCACGCUGAUUCUGAUGUAUUUUGUCUACAUUCUGAUCAUGAAGAAGCAGUCGGUCCUCAUGGUGGACGAGCUGCUGUCGGUGUACCCGCACCAGCUGACCUUCUCUGAGGCCGGGAUGAGGAUCAUGAUCACCAGUCACUUCUCUCCCCGGACGCGGCUCACCAUGGCGUCCCGGAUGCUCAUCACUGAGAGACAACGUCUGAUCAGCAGCAGGACUCUGAUCAAUGGUGAGUCUGACAUUCCCGUAAAGGGAGGCAACAACUGGGGCGUGGAAAAUGGACUGUCAGCUACUGAGAGGCGCAUCAGCAUCUGCAACGAUGAUCGAGAGCCAGGCAACGAGACCGAGUACGAGGACAACGAAAACAACGAGAAUGAUGAAGAAGAGGAGGAUGGAGAAGGACCCUUCGUACCCUUCCAGUGCCCAGCCGGUGUGGUGAACAAACUGAAGUGGCUGCUUGCUUGGCCUCUCUGCCUCCUGCUGUACUUCACCAUUCCCAACUGCUCCAAACCUCGCUGGGAGAACUGUUUCAUGCUCUCCUUCAUUUCCUCCACCCUCUGGAUCGCAUCCUUCUCCUACAUCAUGGUCUGGAUGGUUACAGUGAUCGGCUUCACACUCGGCAUUCCUGAUGUCAUCAUGGGCAUCACAUUCCUGGCAGCUGGUACCAGCGUUCCUGACUGCAUGGCCAAGGAUCUCCUGAGGUCUCCUGACUGUCUUUUGUCUUCUUUCUGUCCAACAUCUGUUUCCUGUCUCUCACCUUCUCUACAGAUCAAACUGAACAGCAAAGGUCUCAUCUUCUCCGUGGGUCUCCUUCUGGCCUCCGUGUUUCUGACAGUUCUGGGAGUCCACCUGAACAAGUGGACACUGGACAGACGUCUGGGUCUCGUGUGUCUCCUCCUCUACUCCAUCUUCCUGUGUUUCUCUUGUCUCAUUGAAUACAACAUCUUCACCUUUGUCAACCUGCCGACCUGCCGGGGAGACUGACACAUACACACACACACACACACACACACACACACACACAGGAAGUCAGAUGAGGGAGUUAGACUCUUUAUGGUAACAAAGAUGGGACAGAACACCCCCACAUUAAAUAAACUCAUAUGAAAAGCUUUUAUUUUGAAAGUC
ensembl:lncRNA